rnacentral:misc_RNA from 1 species
UCCGAGUUGACCCCGGCAGUCUCCUAUGAGUCCCCACCAUCACGUGCUGGCAACAUAGAACGAGGGUUGCGCUCGUUGCGGGACUUAACCCAACAUCUCACGACACGAGCUGACGACAGCCAUGCAGCACCUGUGUUACGGCUCUCUUUCGAGCACGCCCCGAUCUCUCGGGGCUUCCGUACAUGUCAAGGGUAGGUAAGGUUUUUCGCGUUGCAUCGAAUUAAUCCACAUAAUCCACCGCUUGUGCGGGUCCCCGUCAAUUCCUUUGAGUUUUAACCUUGUGGCCGUACUCCCCAGGCGGUCAACUUCACGCGUUAGCUUCGUUACCAAAGAAUUGCUUCCCCGACAACCAGUUGACAUAGUUUAGGGCGUGGACUAC